rnacentral:rRNA from 1 species
GUAGGUGGCAAGCGUUGUCCGGAAUUAUUGGGCGUAAAGCGCGCGCAGGCGGUCCUUUAAGUCUGAUGUGAAAGCCCACGGCUCAACCGUGGAGGGUCAUUGGAAACUGGGGGACUUGAGUACAGAAGAGGAAAGCGGAAUUCCAAGUGUAGCGGUGAAAUGCGUAGAGAGUUGGAGGAACACCAGUGGCGAAGGCGGCUUUCUGGUCCGUAACUGACGCUGAGGCGCGAAAGCGUGGGGAGCAAACAGGAUUAGAUACCCUGGUAGUCCACGCCGUAAACGAUGAGUGCUAAGUGUUAGGGGGUUUCCCGCCCCCCUUAGUGCUGCAGCUAACGCAUUAAGCACUCCGCCUGGGGAGUACGGCCGCAAGGCUG